GCUGGGUGGUGGGGUGGUAUGUACUUGUAGUCCCAGCUACUUGGGAGGCUGAGGUGGAAGGACUGCGUAAGCCCAGGAGCUCUGGGCUGUAGCGUACUAUGCCAAGCCUCUGUGUGUCCGCACUAAGUCCAGCAUCAAUAUGGUGAUCUCCCAGGAUGGAGGAACCACCAGGUUGCCUAAGGAGGGGUGAACUCACCGAGGCUGGAAAUGGAGCAGGUCAAAACUCUCAUGCUAAUCAGUAGUGGGAUUGCACCUGUGACUAGCCACUGUACUCCAGCCUGGGCAACACAGUGAGACCCCACUUCU
rnacentral:SRP_RNA from 1 species